rnacentral:rRNA from 1 species
CCUACGGGAGGCAGCAGUGAGGAAUAUUGGUCCAUGGGCGCGAGCCUGAACCAGCCAAGUAGCGUGAAGGAUGACUGCCCUACGGGUUGUAAACUUCUUUUAUAAAGGAAUAAAGUGAGGCACGUGUGCCUUUUUGUAUGUACUUUAUGAAUAAGGAUCGGCUAAAUCCGUGCAAUCAGGCGCGGUAAUACGGAGGAUCCGAGCGUUAUUCGGAUUUAUUGGGUUUAAAGGGAGCGUAGAUGGGUUGUUAAGUCAGGUGUGAAAGUUUGCGGAUCAAACGUAAGAUUGCAAUUGAAACUGGCAGUCUUGAGUACAGGUGAGGUAGGCGGAAUUCGUGGUGUAGCGGUGAAAUGCUUAGAUAUCACGAAGAACUCCGAUUGCGAAGGCAGCUUACUAAACUGCCACUGACAUUGAUGCUCGAAAGUGUGGGUAUCAAACAGGAUUAGAUACCCGGGUAGUC